rnacentral:tRNA from 1 species
GGCUCAAUGGUUUAGUGAUACGAUUCUCCCUUUGGGUGCGAGAGGUCCUGAGUUCAAUUCUCAGUUGAGCCC